UACAGAGGUCUCGAGCGUUGUUCGGAUUCAUUGGGCGUAAAGGGUGCGUAGGUGGCGCUGUAAGUCGGGUGUGAAAUCCUGGGGCUUAACCCCGGAACUGCAUUCGAUACUGCAGUGCUUGAGGACUGGAGAGGAGACUGGAAUUCAUGGUGUAGCAGUGAAAUGCGUAGAGAUCAUGAGGAAGACCGUGGCGAAGGCGGGUCUCUGGACAGUUCCUGACACUGAGGCACGAAGGCCAGGGGAGCAAACGGG
rnacentral:rRNA from 1 species